rnacentral:ncRNA from 1 species
AAGGCAAAGGUAAACUAUCUGAAAGGAUAGGGCACAAAGCCGCGAGUCUAAGUCUUUUAGCUAUUAAGGGAUAUGAUUGUCGGGUUGCCGU